rnacentral:rRNA from 1 species
ACUCAAAUGAAUUGACGGGGGCCCGCACAAGCGGCGGAGCAUGUGGCUUAAUUCGAUGCAACGCGAAGAACCUUACCUGGGCUUGACAUGUUCGGUCUACCUGCAGAGAUGUGGGGUGCUUCGGCGCCGUUCACAGGUGGUGCAUGGUUGUCGUCAGCUCGUGUCGUGAGAUGUUGGGUUAAGUCCCGCAACGAGCGCAACCCUCGUUCCAUGUUGCCAGCGCGUAAUGGCGGGGACUCAUGGGAGACUGCCGGGGUCAACUCGGAGGAAGGUGGGGACGACGUCAAAUCAUCAUGCCCCUUAUGUCCAGGGCUGCACACAUGCUACAAUGGCCGGUACAGAGGGCUGCGAUACCGCGAGGUGGAGCGAAUCCCAAAAAGCCGGUCUCAGUUCGGAUCGGGGUCUGCAACUCGACCCCGUGAAGUCGGAGUCGCUAGUAAUCGCAGAUCAGCAACGCUGCGGUGAAUACGUUCCCGGGCCUUGUACACACCGCCCGU